UGGCGUGUGUGCGACGAUUUCGCCGCCGGGUGACUAAGUCAUUGAACCUAGGCCGUUGUUGGGUGAGGUGCGAUUCGUUCGCCGCCAGACGGCUAGGACAGGAGUACGGUGAGCUGUUGCCAGCUGAGGUGCAUGUGAGAGUUCCUUCACCUCGAGCUAGACAGUGCGCGGACUAUCCGCGAUUGAUUGACUCAAUACCGAGUCGGGUGGCUUGUUGACUAAGGUAAAGUGACCUUAGAGUAGAAUGCCAAAAGCUAAGAUAUAGCAUGGUUCAAGAAUGUUAAGAGUAAAGAAUAGCUAAGGAACAAAGAAUGACUAAAGAAUAAU
rnacentral:lncRNA from 1 species